GGAGCUGCUGAAAAUUUUCAAGAGCGUUGAGGAUAAGAUGCCAGGUUUCAGUUACCAGCUCCAGGUCGACGCACACAACACCGUUAGAAGUGUGUUUUGGACAGAUCAGAUAGGUAGAGCAAACUACAGCCAGUUUGGGCAGUUUGUCUCUUUUGAUACCACCUAUUCCACAAACCAGUACAAUAUGCCAUUUGCCCCUGUGGUUGGCGUGGACAACUAUGGAAAGACUGUCCUGUUUGGUGCGGCAUUGUUAAAGGAUGAGAAGGAAGACACAUUCAGGUGGCUGUUUCGAGCAUUUCUGAGGUCGAUGGGGGGUCUGCACCCGGAAACCAUAAUAACAGACCAGGAUGUCGCAAUGCGGAAUGCUAUACGUGCUGUCAUGUUGCACUCAACCCACCGCUUCUGCAACUGGCACAUCCAGAGGAAAAUGAAACAGAAACUAGUCCCUUUCUUUGCUGCCCGAGGAACUUUGCAUGCAGAGCUCCGGAGCCUAAUCAGGAACUCGUUCACGCCUGAAGAGUUUGAGAGCGGAUGGCACGCUCUGUUGGAGAAGCAUGAUGCUCAGGAUAAAACCCACCUAAAGCGGUUGUUUGAAAUCAGAGAUGAAUGGGUCCCUGCAUACUACAUGGACAAAUUUUUCCCAUUCACGUCAUCAACUGGGAGGAGCGAGAGCACCAACUCUCUGUUCAAAGGCUACGUCCUCCGAAAGGACUCGAUUGCAACGUUUUUCAACCAGUACCAGAUUGUUCAGGAAAAGAAGCAUAGCGACCUUGAUCGACUGAGAGAGAAAUCAGAACUGAGAGAACAACGUUACUGGAGUUACGACCCUAUGGAAAGAGAGGCUGCAAAGAUAUACACACCACCAAUAUACGCCAAAUUUGUGGAAGAGAUGAAAAAAACCACAGCUUACAGAGUUGAGGUCGUUGCUGCUGCUGGUGAAACAAGAGCAUUUCUUGUGACAAGGCGUGGCGAAUACCAGGACGCAGAGUUUUCAAAGAGGAUAUACACUGUGUCAAUAUCACCUGAUGAUGUCUACCGCUGCUCAUGUUCCAAGUUCAAUCGGGACGGUUUGCAUUGCUGCCACGUCCUAGCGGUAGCAAGACACAUUGGGUUGAGUAGC
rnacentral:rRNA from 1 species